AUUGAACGCUGGCGGCAUGCUUUACACAUGCAAGUCGAACGGCAGCGCGGGCUUCGGCCUGGCGGCGAGUGGCGAACGGGUGAGUAAUGCAUCGGAACGUGCCCAGUAGUGGGGGAUAGCCCGGCGAAAGCCGGAUUAAUACCGCAUACGACCUGAGGGUGAAAGCGGGGGACCGAAAGGCCUCGCGCUAUUGGAGCGGCCGAUGUCGGAUUAGCUAGUUGGUGGGGUAAAGGCUUACCAAGGCGACGAUCCGUAGCUGGUCUGAGAGGACGACCAGCCACCCUGGGACUGAGACACGGCCCAGACCCCUACGGGAGGCAGCAGUGGGGAAUUUUGGACAAUGGGGGCAACCCUGAUCCAGCCAUGCCGCGUGCGGGAAGAAGGCCUUCGGGUUGUAAACCGCUUUUGUUCGGGAAGAAAUCCUCUGGGCUAAUAUCCCGGGGGGAUGACGGUACCGGAAGAAUAAGCACCGGCUAACUACGUG
rnacentral:rRNA from 1 species